UACGAAGGGGGCUAGCGUUGCUCGGAAUCACUGGGCGUAAAGCGCACGUAGGCGGGUCUUUAAGUCAGGGGUGAAAUCCCGGAGCUCAACUCCGGAACUGCCUUUGAUACUGGAGAUCUUGAGUCCGGGAGAGGUGAGUGGAACUCCGAGUGUAGAGGUGAAAUUCGUAGAUAUUCGCAAGAACACCAGUGGCGAAGGCGGCUCACUGGCCCGGUACUGACGCUGAGGUGCGAAAGCGUGGGGAGCAAACAGG
rnacentral:rRNA from 1 species